UACGAAGGGUGCAAGCGUUACUCGGAAUUACUGGGCGUAAAGCGUGCGUAGGCGGUUUGUCGCGUCUGCUGUGAAAACCUAAGGCUCAACCUUGGGCUUGCAGUGGGUACGGGCAGACUAGAGUGCGGUAGGGGUGACUGGAAUUCCUGGUGUAGCGGUGGAAUGCGCAGAUAUCAGGAAGAACACCCGUGGCGGAAGGCGGCUCUCUGGGACGGUAC
rnacentral:rRNA from 1 species